UGCAGUCGACGAAACUUCUUUAUCACCGAGUGCUUGCACUCACCGAUAAAGAGUUGAGUGGCGAACGGGUGAGUAACACGUGGGCAACCUGCCCAAAAGAGGGGGAUAACACUUGGAAACAGGUGCUAAUACCGCAUAACCAUAGUUACCGCAUGGUAACUAUGUAAAAGGUGGCUAUGCUACCGCUUUUGGAUGGGCCCGCGGCGCAUUAGCUAGUUGGUGGGGUAAAGGCUUACCAAGGCAAUGAUGCGUAGCCGAACUGAGAGGUUGAUCGGCCACAUUGGGACUGAGACACGGCCCAAACUCCUACGGGAGGCAGCAGUAGGGAAUCUUCCACAAUGGGCGAAAGCCUGAUGGAGCAACGCCGCGUGGGUGAAGAAGGUCUUCGGAUCGUAAAACCCUGUUGUUAGAGAAGAAAGUGCGUGAGAGUAACUGUUCACGUUUCGACGGUAUCUAACCAGAAAGCCACGGCUAACUACGUGCCAGCAGCCGCGGUAAUACGUAGGUGGCAAGCGUUAUCCGGAUUUAUUGGGCGUAAAGGGAACGCAGGCGGUCUUUUAAGUCUGAUGUGAAAGCCUUCGGCUUAACCGGAGUAGUGCAUUGGAAACUGGGAGACUUGAGUGCAGAAGAGGAGAGUGGAACUCCAUGUGUAGCGGUGAAAUGCGUAGAUAUAUGGAAGAACACCAGUGGCGAAAGCGGCUCUCUGGUCUGUAACUGACGCUGA
rnacentral:rRNA from 2 species